rnacentral:rRNA from 1 species
ACGGGAGGCAGCAGUGGGGAAUAUUGGGCAAUGGGCGAAAGCCUGACCCAGCGACGCCGCGUGAGGGAAGAAGGUCUUCGGAUUGUAAACCUUAGUCAACAGGGAAGAAGCAAGUGACGGUACCUGUGGAGGAAGCCACGGCUAACUACGUGCCAGCAGCCGCGGUAAUACGUAGGUGGCAAGCGUUGUCCGGAAUUACUGGGUGUAAAGGGAGCGCAGGCGGGACUGCAAGUUGGAUGUGAAAUACCGGAGCUCAACUCCGGGGCUGCAUCCAAAACUGUAGUUCUUGAGUGGAGUAGAGGUAAGCGGAAUUCCGAGUGUAGCGGUGAAAUGCGUAGAUAUUCGGAGGAACACCAGUGGCGAAGGCGGCUUACUGGGCUCUAACUGACGCUGAGGCUCGAAAGCGUGGGGAGCAAACAGGAUUAGAUACCCUGGUA